GACGAACCGUGCGAACGGUGUUCGGAAUCACUGGGCUUAAAGGGCGCGUAGGCGGGUUCCCAAGUCCGGGGUGAAAUCUUUCGGCUCAACCGGAAAAUAGCCUUGGAUACUGGGAGUCUCGAGGGAGGUAGGGGCAGCGGGAACUUCCGGUGGAGCGGUGAAAUGCGUUGAUAUCGGAAGGAACGCCGGUGGCGAAAGCGCGCUGCUGGACCUCUGCUGACGCUGAGGCGCGAAAGCCAGGGGAGCAAACGGG
rnacentral:rRNA from 1 species